GUCCUUUCAGAAUCAAGAACCUGUCACACACUGAAGGUCAACGGGUUCGCCACUGCGCAAACAUGUCUACAAUAUAUAUAAAACCUGUUAAGAUAAUGUUUUGAGAAAGGAGUGUAUAUAUUUGGCCUGGAGGAGCGGUUUUAUGCGCUGACUGAAUGGAAGUUUUUUUACUCCGCUGGUCUCAGUUGGUCUCCGGAAGAAAUUACAAGUCCUCACCGUCCAAGACCGAGUACAAAUGUUUCCGACACUGACACAAGACCGAGACACUCAAUAUGUGGUCUGGAGACCAGUCUCGAGUACUACAACAUUGACACACACUCUUACCAGAAAGCAUGCUCCGUUCAUGCUGGUCAUCAGGAUGCUGGUCAUGAGAACGUCACACAUCAGGACAGAGGUCACACUCACUUUCUUAAUGUAUGCAAAUGAGCUGGGUCUAUAUUCAUAAAGUGCGUGAGUGCUGUUCCAGGACCAGUUUUGGCUUUUAGAUUCUAAUGAAUGGACUGGAAGAACCUGGUCCUUGAUCAGCAGUCCUACUCUGAGAGGUAUCAUACAGACCCUGAUCUGUCUAUUAUUUAAUUUAAAAUGUGUAUUUAUUUAACUGAUCUGUCUCAUAUUAACUGCUGGCACUCAUAUGGGCAAUUAAAUUCUAAAACAAAAUAAAAAGAAAGAUGAGAAUUGUAAUUCUGAUGAACUACUGAUGUUAAGAGCUACAUUAUCUACUGAAGAACACAGGUCCUACAUUGUCCACGCUCACCCUCUUCAUAUAGUUAGCUACACUGCGGGCGUUCCACCCCAUCACCUCUGAGCUGGACAAAACUCGUCUUCUUCUGUCCAAAGCUUUCCUCUAGUCUUAUUAAGCCUUGAGUCCAAAGCUCUUUUACUAGAUCUAAGGCCCUUCUGUUGGUUAGAGUCCAAGGCCCUUCUGUUGGUUAGAGUCCAAGGCCCUUCUGUUGGUUAGAGUCCAAGGCCCUUCUGUUGGUUAGAGUCCAAUGCCCUUCUGUUGGUUAGAGUCCAAGGCCCUUCUGUUAGUAGGUCCAAUGCCCUUCUGUUGGUUAGAGUCCAAGGCCCUUCUGUUGGUUAGAGUCCAAGGCCCUUCUGUUGGUUAGAGUCCAAGGCCCUUCUGUUGGUUAGAGUCCAAGGCCCUUCUGUUAGUAGGUCCAAUGCCCUUCUCUUAGUAUGGUCCACCGUUUUUGUAAAGUCCUUGGCUUUUCUGAAGUGUGAGUAAGUUCCAUGGCU
rnacentral:lncRNA from 1 species